rnacentral:rRNA from 1 species
AUUGAACGCUGGCGGCAUGCCUUACACAUGCAAGUCGAACGGCAGCACGGGAGCAAUCCUGGUGGCGAGUGGCGAACGGGUGAGUAAUGUAUCGGAACGUGCCCAGUCGUGGGGGAUAACGUAGCGAAAGCUACGCUAAUACCGCAUACGAUCUAUGGAUGAAAGCGGGGGAUCGCAAGACCUCGCGCGAUUGGAGCGGCCGAUAUCAGAUUAGGUAGUUGGUGGGGUAAAGGCUCACCAAGCCGACGAUCUGUAGCUGGUCUGAGAGGACGACCAGCCACACUGGGACUGCGACACGGCCCAGACUCCUACGGGAGGCAGCAGUGGGGAAUUUUGGACAAUGGGCGCAAGCCUGAUCCAGCAAUGCCGCGUGCAGGAUGAAGGCCUUCGGGUUGUAAACUGCUUUUGUACGGAGCGAAAAGGCUCUCUCUAAUACAGGGGGCUCAUGACGGUACCGUAAGAAUAAGCACCGGCUAACUACGUGCCAGCCGCCGCAGUAAUAC